CUUGGCCUUGGCACUCAUUCAUUCGCUCAGUCAUUUUCGAACAGCAGCGAGUCCUGAGUCGGUCAUCAUUUUCUAAAGACAAUCAAGACAACGAUUUCCAAUAUGGUGGAGGAAUCCGGUAUGUCUGGGAUGUCCGGGAUGUCUGGGAUAUCUGAGCCGCCCAUGAUGUCCGGGAUGUCCAGUCCUGAUGCCCCUGGUGCGGCAGAUGCCGAAGAAGAGAGAAAGUGAGUAUUAACAAUAUUUCACUCUAUUCCGGGUACCAGGUAUGUUAACGCAACGAUCGUUAACAUAUAUACACGAAUUUUUUUAAACCCCACCUCGAAAUAUUUAGCGACACUACCCUUCCCUCUCCUCAGUGGCUGAUUCCGGAUAAACCACCAUAAAAAAAUCGCUCAUCUGGUGGAUGAGCGGGCUGAAUGUCGGCGUUUGUCGGGUGAAUGUCGGCGGGCGGCAUUUGGGACAGGGCUCGGAAAAUUAAUUUGUAAUGUAAUUCGUUAAUGCGUUACUGACGACACUGCUUUCACGGAGAAAUGACGCUACGUUUGCAUUCCAGUUUCGCAGAAGCCUAACGAGCACGUAAAUUUUACUUGAAACAUGAAACUUGAAAUGGGCAAUGAAAUGGUGUCUU